CUCAACAGGUCUAGUUACCCCAGAAGAGAAUUACAGUGAUGUGCACUUCAAAUGCCUGUCUCAGAGAUUGCCCAACACAUGGUAUCAUGACAUUUGAAAAUAUCCAAGUUCAGUGUCUCCAAAUGACAUCAAAAUGAACUGGGACAGGGAUCAGGAAAUGCCUAAAGUUACCUGACAGGAGGUGCCAAGAGCAGGGAUAUCUGAAUCCCAUAAUUCUUCAAAACCUCAGUUGCUACUUUUUUUUCCUCUUGUGUGGCACCUUGUUUCUCACAAGAGUAUUUGAUCAGUGCUUAACCUGGACUAAGAUCAAAGGUGUUCCUCAGCCUGUGCAAUGUCAGAUGUACCACCCAGCUGGCUAAACAAGGACCUCACACUGCGGGAGAUGCUCUCCCCAGUAGUCCUGGACUGGCUGCAUUGCUAAGCAGCCUCACUGAUUUCUAAAGACUGUGUCACGAUUCAGCACAUGGGGUCUGAAGGAGGAUGGCCAUUCUAUGUACAGAGGGCAAUGGAUAAAAGAAGUGGAAAAGGAAGAAGGAAAGAAGUUGAAAAAAUUGAUGGAGCACAGGGACAGGAGGACAGAGGAAAAAAAGGAAAGUGAGGGGAGCUGCAAUUUAAUUAGUAUGCUGACUCUGAAGAGCCCUUUCAAAAAAACCCCUGUUAAGAACUGAGUGGAGCAUUGCUAAGGGCUUAUGCAAGUGUUCCUCUGCAGAAUCAGGCCAGAUUCCCACCUGAAGGUUCAAGGAUGGCCUUUUCUGCAUCUGUGUUCUGAGUCUGUUGGAGAAGCUGUCCAUACAGCUGCUCAGUACUGCUGCUGCCUAGCACUGUGCAUCGGCCUCCACAUCAACUGUGUAGUGAUUUUAGUGCCAUUUCUGAAAUCUCAGAAGAAACAACUUCCUGGCCUAAAUAAACUUUUGUUUAAAAAAGAUAACAAAGAAUUUAAAAUGAAAGAAAGACAGCUCUGUAGGAAUUUUCUGUAAGAAUAGGGGUCUCCUUAUUAAAGGUAUUUGAGAGGUCAAAUGUUUCGUGGCCACGUAGAUUCUUUUGGUCUUGAUUCUUAAAAUACUCCUUAACUGCAGUCUCCUUCAUAUUACAUAUGCUUCCUCUCUAAUAUACCUUUCUUGGAAUCAAUUCACAUGCAAGUUCUAUCCAAAACAUCUGCUGAAAGUACCUACUCCUGAGAGCACUAAUCUCAAUAUUUACUUAGUUAUGCACUUAUACUGAACAUCCCCAGCUAAUACAAAAGGCAAUUAGUUUGCUGAUUCAUGGACUCUUUUACUUCAGUUUCAGCUAGAAGCAAUAAAAAUUAAGGUUGAAUGUGCCUCUGAAAAGGC
rnacentral:lncRNA from 1 species